GGUUGAUCCUGCCAGUAGUCAUAUGCUUGUCUCAAAGAUUAAGCCAUGCAUGUCUAAGUAUAAACCUUUAUACGGUGAAACUGCGAAUGGCUCAUUAAAUCAGUUAUAAUUUAUUUGAUAGUACCUUACUACUUGGAUAACCGUGGUAAUUCUAGAGCUAAUACAUGCAUUAAGACCCGACUUUUUGGAGGGUUGUAUUUAUUAGGUUAAAACCAAUAGCUAGCAAUAGCUUUCUGGUGAUUCAUAAUAACUUCUCGGAUCGUAUGACCUUGUGUCGACGACGUAUCAUUCAA
rnacentral:rRNA from 1 species